GGUGGCUCAAUGGUAGAGUAUUUGCCUUGCAUGCAUGAGGCCCUGGGUUCAAUUCCUCAGCACCA
rfam:Dipodomys ordii contig_62936, whole genome shotgun sequence.